rnacentral:rRNA from 1 species
GAUCCUGGCUCAGGAUGAACGCUGGCGGCGUGCUUAACACAUGCAAGUCGAACGAAGCACUGUUCUGAAAUUCUUUCGGGAAUGAAGGGAUAGUGACUUAGUGGCGGACGGGUGAGUAACGCGUGGGUAACCUGCCUUAUACAGGGGGGAUAACAGUUGGAAACGACUGCUAACACCGCAUAAGCGCACAGUGUCGCAUGGCACAGUGUAGAAAACAUUUAUGGGUAUAAGAUGGACCCGCGUCUGAUUAGCUAGUUGGUGAGGUAACGGCCCACCAAGGCGACGAUCAGUAGCCGGCUUGAGAGAGUGAACGGCCACAUUGGGACUGAGACACGGCCCAAACUCCUACGGGAGGCAGCAGGUGGGGAAUAUUGCACAAUGGGGGAAACCCUGAUGCAGCCGACGCCGCGUGAGUGAAGAAGUAUUUCGGUAUGUAAAGCUCUAUCAGCAGGGACGAUAAUGACGGUACCUGACUAAGAAGCCCCGGCUAACUACGUGCCAGCAGCCGC